rnacentral:rRNA from 1 species
UACGUAGGGGGCAAGCGUUGUCCGGAAUCAUUGGGCGUAAAGCGCGUGUAGGCGGCUCGAUACGUCUGCUGUGAAAGUCCAAGGCUCAACCUUGGGAUGCCGGUGGAUACUGUCGAGCUCGAGUCCGGAAGAGGAGUGUGGAAUUCCUGGUGUAGCGGUGAAAUGCGCAGAUAUCAGGAGGAACACCAAUGGCGAAGGCAGCGCUCUGGGACGUGACUGACGCUGAGACGCGAAAGCGUGGGGAGCAAACAGG